rnacentral:rRNA from 1 species
AUCGACCGCUUGCGGCAGGCCUAACACAUGCAAGUCGAGCGAGCGGCGGAAGGGUGAGUAAUGUAUGGGGAACUGCCCGAUAGAGAGGGAUAACUACUGGAAACGGUGGCUAACACCGCAUACUAUCGGAUGAACCCAUAUGGGAUUAGCUAGUAGGUGGGGUAAAGGCGCACCUAGGCGACGAUCUCUAGCUGGUCUGAGAGGAUGAUCAGCCAAACUCGGACUGAGACACGUCCCAGACUCCUACGGGCUGCAGCAGUGGGGAAUGUGGCACAAUGGGCGGAAGCCUGAUGCAGCCAUGCCGCGUGAUUGAAGAAGGCCUUCGGGUUGUAAAGUUCUUUCUGCGAGGAGGCGUUACCCGCAGAAGAAGCACCGGCUAACUCCAUGCCAGCAGCCGCGGUAAUAC